rnacentral:rRNA from 1 species
CCUACGGGAGGCAGCAGUGGGGAAUCUUAGACAAUGGGGGCAACCCUGAUCUAGCCAUGCCGCGUGAGUGAUGAAGGCCUUAGGGUUGUAAAGCUCUUUCGGCAGGGACGAUAAUGACGGUACCUGCAGAAGCAGCUGCGGCUAACUCCGUGCCAGCAGCCGCGGU